rnacentral:rRNA from 1 species
AGUUUGAUCCUGGCUCAGAGUGAACGCUGGCGGCGUGCUUAACACAUGCAAGUCGAACGAGAACGGAUUAUAGCUUGCUAUAAUUGUCAGCUAAGUGGCGCACGGGUGAGUAAUAUAUAGAUAACCUGCCCUCAAGAAAGGAAUAACAGUUGGAAACGACUGCUAACGCCCUAUAUGCCUUUAAUACAUAAGUAUGCAAGGGAAACGCUUUAGUGCUUGAGGAUGGGUCUGUAUGGUAUCAGCUUGUUGGUGAGGUAAUGGCUCACCAAGGCUAUGACGCCUAACUGGUUUGAGAGGAUGAUCAGUCACACUGGAACUGAGACACGGUCCACACUCCUACGGGAGGCAGCAGUGGGGAAUAUUGCACAAUGGACGAAAGUCCGAUGCAGCAACGCCGCGUGGAGGAUGACACAUUUCGGUGCGUAAACUCCUUUUAUAUGGGAAGAUAAUGACGGUACCAUAUGAAUAAGCACCGGCUAACUCCGUGCCAACAGCCGCGGUAAUACGGAGGGCGCAAGCGUUACUCGGAAUCACUGGGCGUAAAGAGCGUGUAGGCGGAUAUAUAAGUCAGAAGUGAAAUCCAAUAGCUUAACUAUUGAACUGCUUUUGAAACUGUAUAUCUAGAAUGUGGGA